UACGUAGGCAGCAAGCGUUGUUCGGAGUUACUGGGCGUAAAGGGUGCGUAGGCGGUCCUAUAAGUAUGGUGUGAAAUCUCCCGGCUUAACUGGGAGGGUGCCCUAUAGACUGUGGGACUAGAGUGUGGGAGAGGAAAGUGGAAUUCCUGGUGUAGCGGUGAAAUGCGUAGAUAUCAGGAGGAACACCGGUGGUGUAAACGGCUUUCUGGACCAUAACUGACGCUGAGGCACGAAAAGCGUGGGUAGCAAACAGG
rnacentral:rRNA from 1 species